CGUGAGACAGUUCGGUCCCUAUCCGCUGUGCGCGUAGGAGUCUUGAGAAGGGCUGUCCCUAGUACGAGAGGACCGGGACGGACGAACCUCUGGUGUGCCAGUUGUCCUGCCAAGGGCAUGGCUGGUUGGCUACGUUCGGGAGGGAUAACCGCUGAAAGCAUCUAAGCGGGAAGCCUGCUUCGAGAUGAGGACUCCCACCCCCUUGAGGGGUUAAGGCUCCCAGUAGACGACUGGGUUGAUAGGCCGGAUCUGGAAGGCGGGUAACCGCUGGAGGUGACCGGUACUAAUAGGCCGAGGGCUUGUCCUC
rnacentral:rRNA from 1 species